ACAGGUAGCGCCGGUAAAGUUACAGGUGAUAUUAUUUUGCCAUCUUCAGCCUUAGCUACAUGUGAGUGCGCGCUGCAUUGACGCCGUCCGAUGCAGUUGUUUAAUCGUGUGUACGCUGUGCCGAGAGUAAUUGUGGUGCAUUUUGUAUUCAUUGAGAAUCACAAAACCCCUGGGACCGCGUAAUGUAGCCCGCAGUAUCCUUCGUGUGGUGCGCCGAUGUCGAAGUUGAUCCGCAAUUCAACAGUGUGUGCGCCGGAAGGACCGUUGGUGCAGUCGAUGCCGCGGCACCUGUGACGCUAAAAGGAGCGUUUUCCGAGUACGCCUACAAAGGGAUGGCAAGAUUUUGUGAGCCAGAGGCACCUCCACAUAUGCACCUGCGGCACUUCUCCAGCCUCAACAGCACGGCAAAGUACCUGAUGAGCAUGCUGUGACAAGCUGCUAUAGGUAUGGCUGGACCUGGAGAAGACGUGUAAGCAGACCAUGCUGUGUUGCUGAUCUGCGCUGGUCUCCACAUCCAAGUUCGUCUCGCGACAGUUGGGCGCCAUUGUGCCUUGCUUCAUUGACAAGGUGAUAUAAUAUGGUGCCCUGCUCGCUCUCACCCAAGCAACCCACUCCAGCGGUCUUCUCUCGGCAGACUGGAUGCAUCGAAAUACCGUUAGAAG